CCUACGGGUGGCAGCAGUGAGGAAUAUUUGUCAAUGGGCGCGAGCCUGAACCAGCCAAGUCGCGUGAGGGAAGACGGCCCUACGGGUUGUAAACCUCUUUUGCCGGGGAGCAACGGGCGCCACGUGUGGCGCCACUGAGAGUACCCGGAGAAAAAGCAUCGGCUAACGCCGUGCCAGCAGCCGCGGUCAUCAGGAGGAUGCGAGCGUUAUCCGUAUGUAUUGGGUUUAAAGGGUGCGUAGGCGGAGCGUUAAGUCAGUGGUAAAAUUGAGGGGCUCAACCCCUUACCGCCAUUGAAACUGGCGCUCUUGAGUGGAAGAGAAGUAUGCGGAAUGCGUGGUGUAGCGGUGAAAGGCAUAGAGAUCACGCAGAACCCCGAUUGCGAAGGCAGCAUGCCGGCUUCCUACUGACGCUGAAGCACGAAAGCGUGGGGAUCGAACAGGAUUAGAUACCCUUGUAGUC
rnacentral:rRNA from 1 species